UACGUUCAUAUCAGGUUGAAACACCGGUUACCGUACGAUCAUCGAAGUGAAGCAAUGUCGAGCCAGGUCAGUAUCUAGAUGGGUGACCGCUUGGGAAUACCAGGUGCUGUAA